rnacentral:rRNA from 1 species
GCUAAACGCGAAGAACCUUACCUACUCUUGACAUCCCUAGUGUGACUUUCAGAGAUGAUUGUCUUCAGUUCGGCUGGCUAGGUGACAGGUGCUGCAUGGCUGUCGUCAGCUCGUGUCGUGAGAUGUUGGGUUAAGUCCCGCAACGAGCGCAACCCUUACCAUUUGUUGCCAUCAUUCAGUUGGGCACUCUAAUGGGACUGCCGGUGAUAAGCCGAGAGGAAGGUGGGGAUGACGUCAAGUCCUCAUGGCCCUUACGGGCUGGGCUACACACGUGCUACAAUGGCGGUGACAAUGAGCAGCGACCCUGCGAGGGGAAGCUAAUCACAAAAAGCCGUCUCAGUUCGGAUUGCACUCUGCAACUCGGGUGCAUGAAGUCGGAAUCGCUAGUAAUCGCAGAUCAGCAUUGCUGCGGUGAAUACGUUCCC